AACACCCACUUCCAGAGCAGCCUGAAAAACAUCAGGUCACUCCUGCACCUCCCUCUGGCUCUCCAAUUACCUCUUGGUACCUCUGGGUUCUUUGCAAAAGAACAAGACAAGCAGGACAAAAUAGUUCCCUGCCAGAGCAAGCAGCACUCCACAAACAGAGCACAGACAGCAAGAAGGUUAAAAAGCACAACAGAAAGAAAGGAUGUUAUUUUCUAUAUUACGAGGCACAAAAUUUUCAGAGCUCAUUUAUAACUGUGGUAUCCCACGUUGCUCAGAAGUGCCUAUGACCCAAAAGUGCAUGCUUCAUUCCAGGCCAGAUUUCAAACAGAUGACCAAUAUGUGAGUGUCUGCACAACAAAACAACUAGUUCAAAUGAUUCCUUGUUCCCCUGAUGCCUGAAGAACUCAAUACUGACACACAGGUGACAUCCAACCCUGGCCAUUGUACCAAAGAAAGUAGGGUUGAAAGGACUGAUCAAGAAACACAGAGAAAAAAUUCCUUGAGACUGAGGUUUCUUUAUGGACAGGAACAACAUCAAUGAUCCAAAUAAAAAAUGUAGCCAUAAAUAUGGAAAAGAAA